ACACACCAAUUCGUGCGUGCGAGUUCGUCAUUAUUAAAUAAUAAAUUUUGGACAAUUGGACGUAUUAAGGUCCCACAUACUGCAGUGGUGGCGAUGACGAUGGCAGUGAAUUGAUGAUGCAGGAAACAUUUCACCGCUCACCGCGGCGAUAAAGCCAAGGCCAUAGAAUUUAACGUCACCGCUACCACCACCGCUGCAGAGUGUGGGGACCUUAAUGCGUUGUGAGAUGACUAAAAUGUCGACAGUCGUCAGGCAAUAAUAUCGGAUUUGACCGUUUCUAGAGCCGACUCGCGGAUUAAAUAUAAUAUAAUUUUGCACCUUAGAGUAAUUUUCAUUAUCUUGUAUUCAUGUGUCGCGAAUGCGACGCUCGUUGAUCGAUAAUAAUAUUUAUAUAUUUUUUUUUUAAUUAAUCCGAUUCCCGCUUACCUACCCGCUGCUUACAAAUACCGGAAUUAUUAUCGAGUGUCGACGAUGCCGAACAACCAGUUCAUGUACGUUGCACCCGAGAAAUAUUAACGUAAUUUACCUGCAUUCAAGGAGCUGUAUGCGGAGUUCAAUAAAUACGCGUCAGUAUAUUCGGUGUUUUUUGACAAUUUGUUUCACCACAGAGUUUGAUUGGCAAAAUCGUUUUCGACUUCUAAAAUCAGGACGGCCUCAGAUUGUUGACCACUAUACUAUUAAAGAAAAACCACGACCUAUACGUGGACUUGCAACCGUUCCGUUAUGACUUAAUUAUUUGCUGUGGAUUGAAGAUCUGUUCAACUUAAACAACAACAAUAUGAAGAAGAUCAAAGGAAUCAAUAUAGGUAAUGUAUUUGUAUACUUAACGCAAGGACACGGAGAAAAAUUUGGUAGAUCUCUACCUAUAGAUGACUGGGAAACAUUAAAAAGAGGACGUUUCACCAAAAGUAUAUACGUGCAACGACCUAAAGGAUGCGCUGUGGGGUUACCAUUCAGUGUAACGGAACGGACUGUGGAGUAUUUAUAUGAAUAUUUGCAAAAUAUUUUUCAAGACAUGCUGCAUUCAAUUUUAAUCAAAAACAUAUGUUGUCUUUUAGGAAAUUGAUAGCAUACAAACUUUUUAUCCAACAACUUCUAAAUCUAUAUGUAUACCAUUCUUCCACAUCUAUAUUUUCAAGCUGUUGGAUACAAAGUUUGAUGAGGAAACAAAUUGUAUAAUUAAUAAUAAUUAACAAAUUAAUUUUUGGUUAGUACCUAUUAUUUUUAAAUAAUAAAAUAUUAGUGUUACGUAUUCAGAUUUAAUUAUGUCACGUGUAUAAAGUUGUAGAUAUAAAAUAAUAAUAAUUGUAUUUAUGUAUAUUUGUUAAUAAUUAUUCCCUUUAAAUGUUAAGUUAAUAUUAUGAGUACUGAUUAGUUUUAUAUUGUUUAAUGUUUAUAUUGUGUACUUAUUUUUGUGAAAAAUAUGUUUUAUAAGGAGAUAAUAAUAUUUUUGAAAACAUAAGAAUGUCAAAUGUUAAAACCUUGUUUGUGUAUUUUAAAUAUUGAUUUAAUUACAUCUGUAACUUAAUAGGUUAUAUAUGAAAAUGGAA